rnacentral:rRNA from 1 species
UACGGGGGGGGCAAGCGUUGUUCGGAAUUACUGGGCGUAAAGGGCUCGUAGGUGGCCAACUAAGUCAGACGUGAAAUCCCUCGGCUUAACCGGGGAACUGCGUCUGAUACUGGAUGGCUUGAGUUUGGGAGAGGGACGCGGAAUUCCAGGUGUAGCGGUGAAAUGCGUAGAUAUCUGGAGGAACACCGGUGGCGAAGGCGGUCUGCUGGGCGAGUUGCUGACACUGGAGGCGCGACAGCGUGGGGAGCAAACAGG